AGCGAACGUUAGCGGCGCGCCUAACACAUGCAAGUCGCACGAGAAACGGAGCAAUCCACGGUACAGUGGCGCACGGGUGAGUAACACGUGGAUGACCUUCCCUGGAGUGGUGGAUAACCUGCCGAAAGGCGGGCUAAUACAGCAUGGGACCACGACGCUUUGGCGAUGUGGUGAAAGCGGGCCUCUAUAUAUAAGCUCGCGCUCCGGGACGGGUCCGCGUCCCAUCAGCUAGUUGGUGAGGUAACGGCUCACCAAGGCUUCGACGGGUAGCUGGUCUGAGAGGAUGGCCAGCCACACUGGAACUGAGACACGGUCCAGACUCCUACGGGAGGCAGCAGUGGGGAAUCUUGCGCAAUGGGCGAAAGCCUGACGCAGCGACGCCGCGUGGGCGAAGAAGGCCUC
rnacentral:rRNA from 1 species